rnacentral:tRNA from 1 species
GCCUGGGUGGCUUAGUCGGUUAAGCAUCUGCCUUCAGCUCAGGUCAUGAUCUUGUGGUUCGUGAGUUCGAGCCCCACAUCAGGCU